GUAGGUGAACCUGCGGAAGGAUCAUUACCGUGGGGGUGAUUCCCCAUCGAGAUAGCACCCUUUGUCUAUGAGUACCUCUUGUUUCCCCGGCGGGUGAUUCCGCCAACGGGGACCCCAUAAACCCUUUGCAGUUGCAGUCAACCUCUGAUAACAACCAACUAUUAAAACUUUCAACAACGGAUCUCUUGGCUCUG
rnacentral:misc_RNA from 1 species